UACGGGGGGGGCAAGCGUUGUUCGGAAUUACUGGGCGUAAAGGGCGCGUAGGCGGCCUUCUAAGUCAGACGUGAAAUCCCUCGGCUCAACCGAGGAACUGCGUCUGAUACUGGAAGGCUUGAAUCCGGGAGAGGGAUGUGGAAUUCCAGGUGUAGCGGUGAAAUGCGUAGAUAUCUGGAGGAACACCGGUGGCGAAGGCGGCAUCCUGGACCGGUAUUGACGCUGAGGCGCGAGAGCUAGGGGAGCAAACGGG
rnacentral:rRNA from 1 species